AUUGAACGCUGGCGGCAGGCCUAACACAUGCAAGUCGAACGAGUGGCGGACGGGUGAGUAAUGUCUGGGAAACUGCCUGAUGGAGGGGGAUAACUACUGGAAACGGUAGCUAAUACCGCAUACCAUCGGAUGUGCCCAGAUGGGAUUAGCUUGUUGGUGGGGUAACGGCUCACCAAGGCGACGAUCCCUAGCUGGUCUGAGAGGAUGACCAGCCACCCUGGAACUGAAACGAGGUCCAGACCCCUACGGGAGGAAGACGUGGGGAAUAUUACACAAUGGACGCAAGCCUGAUGCAGCCCUGCCGCGUGUAGGAAGGAGGCCUGCGAGUUGUAAAGUACUUUCAGCGGGGAAGCGUUACCCGCUGAAGAAGCACCGGCUAACUCCGUGCCAGCAGCCGCGGUAAUAC
rnacentral:rRNA from 1 species